UUUUCCAUUGCAUUUCACGCAUUUAAAAUGGAGGUAGAUAUUGUCGUCUCAUGUGUUUUGAUUUUUUCAUUUACUUUUCUGUGUCCAUACGUUCGUGGAAACCUUUUUAAAGAAGUGUCAUCAUGUCCAUCAGAUGGAGUAGAAUGGAGAGAACGAGCUCAGAAGAAACAAUGUAGAGAACCUAUACCAGAUUUCAUGUGUGCAGCCAUUGAAAACCAACCUGGGAGGUUUGGAGAAAUAUGUACCAUUGCUGGUCUCUCGACUGCAGGUUUUUGUGCGGUUUUGGAUGAAGACACCUACAAUCUAAAUUACAUAAAAUGCGUCGCAGCUUCCGGUUGUCCGGCUACCGCAUACAGAUCUUCUGAAGUCUAUAGAUUGAAACUUCUACACCUUCAACGUAUACCGUCAUACAAAACAAGCUUAACACGACAAGGAUGCAUAUUGCAGAACAAGUUGGAUCCUUCAAUGCAGUCACAUUUAUCAUAUACAUAUGUUUUAUAUUAGUGUUUCUUGUUAUAUUUAUCUUUUGGACAAAAAGAAAACUAUUCAAACACAGAGAAAGUUCAGAAAAUCUGUUUGGGAAUGGGAACAGGAUUUCACUGUUAGGAAAUUAUAUGACAUCUCGACUUGUUGCUUUCUGUCAUGCAGAUCUAGACAGCCUUAGAUAUAAAAUGGUCACGCAUUCUGAAUCAUUAAAGCACCACUUCAAGGAAACAUUAUGUGACCCGAUGGUUUAUAAUGAAGAUGAUUUAAAGAAAUUCGAUUUAGAUGUCGUAUACAUACUGCUGACAAAUUUUUGUGACAUACCAUGUCCGGAUAAUGGUUGGGGAAACAUGCCAGGAGAUGAAGACCUUUCUUUAGGGGCGGACAUAGAAAGAGUACGGAUCUUGGUCAACGAGUAUUUAGAUAAUAAAACAUUAAAUGUUGACGAGGUUAAUCAGAUACUUGGAAGAUGGGAGAAUUUUUUCGGAGUGAUCAAUCAAGAUGAUUACAUAGAGUUUUGUCCCGAGAAAAAAAUAAUUUAUGUGAAAGUAAAGCCAAACAAUGUAAUAGAGAAUGGAGUUCUUGUUACACAGGACAUUGCAAAUAUUCUGGAGAAAAUGAAAUCAAAAAAAGUUGUUAUCUGUCGUGGUGCCAUAGGGUGCGGCAAAACAACCGCAUUGGAAUACGUGACUAAAAAGUACAGGGAGGAUGGAUGGACGAUAGAAUGGAUGGAUGUAUCUCUUGACGAAUCUUGCAUCGAAAGAUUACCCAUACACGGCAUAGAAAAAACAGUCAUUUGUAUUGACAAUUUGUUUGGCGUAUUUGGAUGUCAAGUGUUUGUAAAUGAUUUGUUCAACAAAUUUAAACGGUUCAUGCGCAAAAUUGUCAAUCGGGGAAAGCAACCUAUGGUUUUGCUUGGCAUUCAUCAGCAUGUGUUUGAAGAUAUAUCCCCUGAAAACAACCCUUUUCCCAAAGAUGAAAGUUUAUUCAUAGACUUGAACAAAAUCUCGCAAUCAGAAGCAUUGCAAAUAUAUAAAUUACAGCAAAAAAACAAUAAAAGCAAGCAGGGCGAUAUUUCAGUCGAAGAUUUUUUAAGGCUGAUUGAACAGAGAUCGAGUGAUGUUGGAACACCUUUCCAGACGCUGAUGAUAUCAGCAGCUCCUGGUGUCUUUGGAAACAAAUGGUUCUGCAGCCAACCGUUCCAGACAUUGACUGAGCAUUUCAACGGUUUAUACAAUACUGAGAGAGAACUGUUUUGUUCUCUUUUUUACAUUAUGUGCGUGACGAUUUUUAAUCCUAGAGCGGACGAACUGGACAUGGAUGUGGUUAAUGCAAUUAGUACCUCUUUAAACAGAAACACCAUAGCUUACUACCUAUCACAAUUAGCCCCUUAUACGCAUGAUGAUGGUAACGUUAUAGAAAUAAAACACGAUCUCAUUACAAUUGCAUUGAUUCAUGCAUUGAUAAGAAAAUCGGAGAAUCCUUGGAAAGUUUUAAAAGUUUACGAUAACACAAGAACUUUGGAAAUUGUUCGUCCUGAUGACCCAUAUGCCAGACCUCAUAAAUUUGCUGUUCCUUUGAGAAGAGAAAUGUUUGCAAAAGCACUGUCCGUUUUAGAGGAAAAAACGUUCUAUGAAAAUUAAACAUUUACUGUAUAGUGUAAAUAUAUACCUGUCCUGUUUUGAUAUUAAAAAUGCCAUAUUAUUAAAACGUAAUUUAUUUUCUUUAAGCCCAGUCAGGUAUGAGGAAAACUUAUUUUCGACUCGUUAAUCUAGUAAUAACUUAACAUCAUCUUUUAAUAUAUCAUUUAAAAAAACGAAAUAUAUGUACAGUGUUUUGCUGUACCACUUUUUCAUUAAAAGUUUUUCAUUGAAAUCCAUCUAUUUUAAGCACUGCAAUUAAAAAACAAUUAUUUUUUUAAUUGUUGUAUAUUAUUCAAGUAUAUUAAACUACGAUCAAUUCCAAAAUAUAU
rnacentral:misc_RNA from 1 species